rnacentral:lncRNA from 1 species
GUUUCUAAGCCCAAAAAACAUGAACUCUUAGCACAGGAACAUGCCAACCAGGAUGCUUCGAAUGAAGGAAUGUGGGCAUCGCGGGUAGGGAAUUGCAUUCACAGAUACACUGUCAAUUGCCCCGAGAGAAGAUGAAUGAUAUUGACGUUCACGUUGAGAGUACAGCACAAGGCAGGUCCACCGCAAUUCCCUCACCUAACGACAUAGUCAGACAGGAUACACACCCGCGACUAAAAAACUCCCACAAAGACAGUGGACGUAAUUUCCUCCACAUCAGACUGUCCACAAUGACGAUGUGGCUCCCUUUCUA